GAUUCAUGUUCCCUCAAGGAUGAAUUUGAGGCAGGUAGGAUAAAAGGUAUCUUGCUUGGAGAUUCCGGGUACCCUUGCAAGCCAUAUCUUUUGACUCCUAUCCUGAAUCCCCGUGAUCCUUCUGAGGAGCGUUACAACGCAUCCCAUGUACGGACCCGGAUCAUUGUGGAACGCUGCUUUGGUGAAUGGAAGGGCAUGUUCCAUGCUCUACGGAAUAGCAUGCAGAUUUCUUUGCCCACAGCAAAAGCAGCCAUUAUAGCAAUGGCUGUUUUAUAUAACAUUCGACACAAAUUUAAGGAUAACAAUCCAUAUGAUGCAGAUUCGGAUGAGGAUUUGGACGACGAAGAGGAUGACCAUGUUACAAUGAAUUCUGAAGCAGAACCAGUGCAGCAUGGCCAUAAUCUCUUUCGUCAAGAGUUU